UGCGUAGGCGGUUUGAUAAGUCAGUUGUGAAAUUCCCCGGCUUAACCGGCGGGACUGCGAUUGAUACUGUCAAACUUGAAUCAGGUUGAGGUAGGCGGAAUGUGGCAUGUAGCGGUGAAAUGCAUAGAUAUGCCAUAGAACACCGAUUGCGAAGGCAGCUUGCUGGACCUUGAUUGACGCUGAGGCACGAAAGCGUGGGGAGCGAACAGGAUUAGAUACCCGAGUAGUCC
rnacentral:rRNA from 1 species